rnacentral:rRNA from 1 species
UUGAAAGGGAAACGAUUGAAGUCAGUCGUGCUGGCGCGAAAUCAACCUUCUCGUCUUGAGAUCACAUGGCGUGGCGAGCCUCAAAACCGUCACGAAGCGUGAACUCUUGGUGAAAUGGAGCACUUUCGUGUCCGCUGGUUAACAUCAAUUUCGAACGUCAUAAAAAGGCUGGAGGGAUGUGGCUCCUUCGGGAGUGUUAUAACCUUUAGCGGAAUGUGGUGUUCGGGAUUGAGGAUUGCAACGAAUACCUUUAGGACUGUUCCACCUGGCUUCUCUUUGGUAUCCUGGUGACGACAGCUUGCUGACGUCGUUAGGAUUCGCCUUUGAACAGGCUAGAGUGUGAGCAAAUUCGUUAAGGAUGUUGACGUA